UACAGAGGUCUCGAGCGUUGUUCGGAUUCAUUGGGCGUAAAGGGCGCGUAGGCGGCGGGGUAAGUCUGGUGUGAAAUCUCGGAGCUCAACUCCGAAACUGCACUGGAUACUGCUCUGCUAGAGGGCUGGAGAGGAGAUCGGAAUUCACGGUGUAGCAGUGAAAUGCGUAGAUAUCGUGAGGAAGACCAGUGGCGAAGGCGGAUCUCUGGGACGGUACUGACGCUGAGACGCGAAAGCGUGGGGAGCGAACAGG
rnacentral:rRNA from 1 species